GCUUAAGAGGCUGUGAAUGUUGCUGAAUGGGAGUAGACAAAGAAGAGCUCUUCACUAGAUACCAAAACAUUCAAAGGCCAUUUUCUCAAAAGUGAGUUUACAAGUAUCAACUUUCAAAGUAGAAUCACUUUCCCAUUGUUCCUCAAAAAUGCAGUGUAUGAUAUACCAUUUCCAUUUUUCUGUUCCAAGUCAAGUUCCAGGGUCAUCCCCUCUUCCCCCUCCUGCUCCACCUCAUCCUGAGACUGCCCGUCACACUGCCUGCCCGGAAUGCUCAUGCUGUUUCCUCUAUCCCCCCCAUGGACAGGAAACCGCUGAAGCUGGAGCCCACGGACUGACGGACAAACAGAUGUAUACACACAGGGGGCAGGAAUUGAUCUCACUGCACCUGCAACCAGGAAGCUGGCCAGUAGAGACAGACAGACACGGGUCCCUGAAACUCCCCUACCCCCCCGUAGCUCCCCCGUCACUCCUCCCCUCCACCCCUCUGACACCCCCAUGUCUACUCUGACUCCCUCACCAGCUGUGGGCACUGGGCCCAUAACACAGGAAACAGAAGAGACCAGCUCUGCCUCUCUCUCCUUUCAGAUAUCCCACUUCAUUCUCUCUUUAUCUGGCCUACAGUAUCAUCUGUAUCAUCAGAUGGAUACAAUGGAAUUGAACAGUCCUUGGCAAGCCCAUACCCAUUGGGCACACUCUGGUUGACAGAUCAAUGCUGUUUUCACCUUAUUUCAAUACAAAAAUGUCCUUGAACUGGCAUCUGUGCCAAGCAGACCUGGAUAUGUGAUACAGGUUUAUGUGAUACAGGUUUGAGUGCCCCCUCUCUGCCCUCUCAGUCAGGGUUAUUUAUUCUUUAAUUCGAUUUAAGUACCUUCUGUAAAUAUGAUAAUAUGCAAUGUGUGAUUGAAUUGAGCCCUACAGUAAGUGUAUGGGAAACUCACAUGGCAUCGUUCCUCAUGUGUCUGGAUGAUUUUCUGCACUCAAUGGGAGCGUGCGGAGUGCAGUGUGUGUAUUUGAAUAGUAUGCUGAGUGAAUAUGAAUUAGCCCCAUUGGCAUGGACUACUGUACUGCAAUGGUUAAACCACAGUGAGACUGUACAAAAAUCUAGUCCAGGGAUAUACUACAGCAGCAGCAGCCCACUGACACACAUUCUCCAGAUGGAAAAAUAGAGAUUAAGGGCUUUAUUCAAUCAUAUCCAGUUUAGCUGACAUCUGCAUAGCGGUUGCUUUGGUGGUGUCGGAGGUGGAGCUGCUUUAGAGCUGUCAAAUCCACAAGUGGCUCCUAGCAUUAUACCUAAAGCGGACAUUAACAGUCACAUUAACAAAAAUCUCACCCAGCUUUGUUUACAGGUUUGAACAGUGGAAUGUGAUAUGUAAUCUACACCUCAAUUAGGCUGAUAGAAAUCCUCAUGAUUUAGUUGAAUGUUUUAUUUCUUUACAUUUGAGCGUAUUUAUUUCUAUACAGCCUACAAUUUCUCAUUCUGAACUUCUAAGGCACUCUACUUUGCUUCGAGUCAAUGAUCGCAAGAGCAGCUGCUCACUGAUUUGACAGCUCCAACACAGUUCCACCUCCAACACCACCUAACCCUCCACUAUGUGGUUGUCGGCUAUCGCCAGUCAACGCUUGAUCUGAUUGAAUCUAGGCCUUACUCUGUCUCUCACUGAUCUCUGCUUCCUAUGUUCUCUCUCAAAAUUGUGUAUGUGUGUGGCACAUGUUUGUGUGUGAGUGAAAAUACUCCCUUGCUAAUGAUAUCUAUUUUAGGGGCAUUUUCCCGUAUUGUGGUUGAGUGUUUGUGAGGGAGGAGUGUUUCAGUGAAUUACUUUCUGUGUCCUGUAAACACAUUUGUUUUCAUAAGAUUUGCCUUAUGCCACUAAUGUAAUAAAAUCAAUAUGUUUGCUCCUUGACAUGAUGCAAACUCGUUGGUAAUGGAUCUCUGAGUGUUUAGUGCUUGUUUUAGACUUGGACUAUCAUGAUGAGAAAGGUUUGGUAUCAGUACGGACAUUGUAGG
rnacentral:lncRNA from 1 species